rnacentral:rRNA from 1 species
UCGAGGAUCUUCGGCAAUGGGCGCAAGCCUGACCGAGCGACGCCGCGUGCGCGAUGAAGGCCUUCGGGUUGUAAAGCGCUGUCGAGGGGGAGGAAGAUCCGCAAGGGUUUGACCGAUCCCUGGAGGAAGCACGGGCUAAGUUCGUGCCAGCAGCCGCGGUAAGACGAACCGUGCGAACGUUGUUCGGAAUCACUGGGCUUAAAGGGCGCGUAGGCGGGCGGCCAAGUCGGGGGUGAAAUACCCCAGCUCAACUGGGGAAUUGCCCCCGAUACUGGCGGUCUCGAGGGGGGUAGGGGCACGCGGAACUUCCGGUGGAGCGGUGAAAUGCGUUGAGAUCGGAAGGAACGCCGGCGGCGAAAGCGGCGUGCUGGACCUCUUCUGACGCUGAGGCGCGAAAGCCAGGGGAGCGAACGG